rnacentral:lncRNA from 1 species
GCAGGCUCCAUGCACCAGGAGCCUGAUGUGGGAUUCGAUCCCAGGUCUCCAGGAUCGCACCCUGGGCCAAAGGCAGGCGCCAAACCGCUGCGCCACCCAGGGAUCCCGGUGGAAUGAAUUUUUAAAAAAUGCUUUAUACCAUAUCCCUGUCAGUGAACAUUAGCAUAUAUGUUUUUUAAAAAUCCAGUAGUAAAGACAUGUGUGUCAAUUUAUCUCCCUGUAUCUCAAUUUUUUAAAGAUGAAACCAUAUUUAUGUAUGACCUCUGCUAACGCUCUAUGAAAUGAUGGUCUGUAUUAGUCUGUUGAUCCAAGAAAUAAUUAUAGUUACUUCAGAAAUCUGCCUGUACCCAAAAGCCUAACAUUUUUGUGAUUUAUUAAAAAUAAAUCUGUCUUUUUCUGUCUUUAUCUAAAUCCAUAGAAAGGAAGGGCAAAAAUAGACUAGACCUGGAAAACCCGAAUUAUUCUCUUCAAUUUUUUUUCCUUCUCUCCCGAAACUCUUAAGGAUUUAUCAAGCCUUUAAGGAAAUAUACUGGGGAACCACAAAAUGACCCUUUGAUUGAAAGCACAGUAAAUGAGGAAGAAAGAUGCCUGGAUAAUCCAUUCAGCUGGAAAACAAAUCCUUGUAUUUAGGGGGAUACUCAUUUAUGUGCAUGUUUAAUGUGAUGUUUGCUAGAGCUUUUAAUGCCCCAAAGCCUUACUUUUCUCAAAUUUCCUCAUAGUAUAAGUAAUUGCAUCAUAAAUGUUAAGAUCCCUAUAGAAAGUCAAAGAAAAAUCUCACAAAUUAGCUGAAUUUUAAGCAGAAGAAUCAGCUAAUCUGGAUAAUUCACAUCUCAAUAACACAUCUCCUGGCUUAAUCAUACAACCAGUUGCCCCAUUGCAGAGCCUAUGGCCAUAUGUGCUCUCAUCCAGAAAAAUACACUAGAAGGACUGUUCUUGAAGAAUUUGAAAAUAUCACCUCAGCAGAAAGAAAAGCAUAAUGUACUUGUUUUGUACUUAGCACAAAAAUAUGCUAAUAUAGUUUAUUGAAUGUUUGCCGUUAUUUUCUUGUUUGUAUUUUACUGAAAAUGUGUUCUUGUUCAAAAAUUGCUCUAGAUACUUUAAAAGAUACUCAAGAGCUAUAAUUUCUUCAGUUAGUAUGUUUUGUUUUGUUUUGAGAUUUUGGUCAUUGAAAAGGAUGAAAUAUAUCUUGGUUUGUUUUUGUACACUGAAAUCUUCCUAUAAUUAAUUACAACUCAUACUCAGGUGUAGGAUAUUUACAUGCUAGUGGCAAUGCUCUCAUCAUAAUGAUGGAGAAAGAGAUCUUGGGGGCUCAGGAGACAUGGUAGAUAAAGAGAUUUCCCUUCUUCAUAACCUCAAAAAACCCAAAAAUAAUAAAAAUGAUCACUACAAAAAUAUUAGUUUUACUAGAGUAAAGAUGGAGAAACUUUUAAAACCUAAUUUAGAUUUAGAAGAUAAAUCACAUACUGUUUUAUUAUUUAAGUGUUUGCUACUAACGAUAGUGCACAUUUAAAUUUAAACCUUUGGUAGAAAAAAAAAAUAAACCUUUGGUAGAGCUAGACCCUGUUUCUUUUCUAAAUAAUAUGAAGAAUGAAGUUAAUGUUGAUCUUUUUGAGUGGAUAAAGUACACCAGCAUCUGAAUCUUGUAAUUUAAUAAAUGUUACAUUUGAAAGAACGUGAGAUUUGAUGUCAUAUAACUUUAACUUGGGUCUUGUGUGUUAUCUUACGGUAGUUGCUUAACCUCUGUAAUUCUUGAUUCAUAUAUCCGUUAAGCAGAGUGAAUAAGAAUACUUCUGUCUUUCAGAGUUAUUACAAAUAUUAAAAGACAUUACAUGUAAACACAUACAUACAGAAUAAACUGUACACAUUUUGUAAAUUGCAAACCAUCUUUCACCGGAUGCUAUGGCUUCUACGAUUACUUGCUACUAUUAUUAACAAUAAUACACACAGGAUUAUAAAUAGUUCCAAAUUAUUUUAAUACUGUCAUUGGCCACUCUGAUUAAUCAAAACAUAUGAGUGCUAGAGAAGCUUUAUAGAGUCUUCUUAAGUUUUUCUUUUGAAGGUGGAAACCAACUGAGUCAAAUAAGCAGAUGCUGUGUUUUUGUGCCAGAAAUACUGUCCUAAGGUUCCCCCUCCCUAUCACUGAUUUGGAACAUUAAAAUCUCUUUUAGCCCUAAUAAUUAUCAUAGUUCCUGAGAAAAAAUAUGCAGUACUGGUUGCUCAAAUGUCUUAUUACUUUUUCCCUGAGGGUUUUAGCCUUCCAAAGACUAAACAGAGAUAAAUAUCAUGUUUGAUGCUUUACUAAGAGAGCUAUUAGGUAUGGAAGUUUAAAAAUAUUUAAAUUGAGAAAGCACUUUUUUUCCAGAGCUCUAGAAGGCCAGAGCCUUUUGCAUUUGGUAUCCAUCCAAGAUUCCCCCUGGACCAAUUUGAAAACCACUAGUUUCAGAGAGCCUUACCAGGCAGCUCCUACUUCAGAUUAAGGCUGAAACUAUGACCUAUUCAUAUACAAGAACAACACCCACAUAGAGUUAACACUGGAACUUGCUGAUGGGGGUGGGGAAAAAACAAAUCACCAGCAUCACACUUUUCCUGAUCUUUCUCACAUAUUUCUGCUUCAGAAUAAAUGCUUUUAUCACCUGUAUAACAAAAUGCAUAGCUGUGUUUUCCAGAGCUAACAGCACGUACAGUUGUCAUCACUUCCAAAAAGUGCCAAAGGAGUCUUUAUAAAGUAUUGAUUUUCUCUAAAAUUAUCAAAGCAAUUUCAGGCUUUAGUGAAAUAUAUUUGGUUGCCACCUAGAACUGGAACUCUGGGUACUUAAGAACUACCUCUUCCUGCAAAUGAAAACAUCAUCUGAUGCAGUUUCUAAAUAGAGAUGCCCAUAUCUGCAAAAAUCACUGGCUAUUGGGAAGCUCAAAGCUAACUAAGCUUUGUGUCCCAAGUGCAACUAUUUUCCUUAGCCCAGUUUUCUGUCACAGGACCUGUUUUUCCUUUCAUUACAUAGUCCUGUUUUCUUUCUUUAAAUUGUUUUAUUACAUGGGGUCCCUGGGUGGCGCAGCGGUUUGGCGCCUGCCUUUGGCCCAGGGCGCGAUCCUGGAGACCGGGGAUCGAAUCCCACAUCGGGCUCCAUUUGAGGAGCCCGACGCAGGACUCGAUCCCGGGACUCCAGGAUUGCGCCCUGGGCCAAAGGCAGGUGCCAAACCUCUGAGCCACCCAGGGAUCCCCGAUACAAACCUUUAAGAGUCUUUUCUGUCUAUGAAUAUGUCACUGUUCCUCACAUUCAACUAAUUAACUUAUCACAUAUCUAUUAAAACUCAGUUACUCCUAGACAGAAGAGUAGAUCAGAAUAGAACAGAAUAUAAAAGCCUUAAAAAUACACAGAAGAACAUAUGGAAAUUUGAUAUAAUAAAGUGGGAAAUCUUUAGUGAGCUAUAUUUUAAGGACCUAAAACUGCAAGAAAACCUUGAACUUUGUCAGUAAUUUUAUUGUUAAUGAUAAUACUAGUAUUGUGACUUUAAAUUUUUUAAGCAUUUAUGUAUAAAAGUAGAUAAGCAUGUUAUUAGAAUCCAGGACACUCAGUGUACUAGAAUAUUAGAAAUACAAAAUUAAAGAAAUUAAGGGAAAAACUCUAAUGUCAAAUUUGAAUUGGCACUAUCAGUAUAAGCUCAUAUUUUAAAAACGUAUUUCCUUUAAAAAAAAUUUAUUUGAGAGAGCACGCAUAAGCAGGAGGAGAGGCAGAGGGAGAGAAAGAAGUACACUCCCUCCUGAUUGGGGAAUUUGACAUGGGGCUUUAUCCCAGGAUCUGGAGAUCAUGACCUGAGCCAAAGGCAGAUGCUUAACCAUCUGAGCCACCCAGGCACCCCUAAAAAUGUAUUUUCUGUUCUACCUAUAGAAAAGGACCAGAAUCAGGUCCAUCCCAGUAGUGAAGUAUACCUAGUGCUCAGCCCUUGCCCUCUAAUUACCAUACAACACCAAA